GUGAAUCAUCGAAUCUUUGAACGCAAAUUGCGCUUACUGGUAUCCCGGGAAGUAUGCCUGUUUGAGGGUCAGUAUUAACAAAAAAUCGGUUUGGUUGCAAAUUGUGAUGUUUGCGGAGUUUGGGUUUAUCUUAACUUUUUUGGUUAAGGGGCUUAAAAUUGACCUUUUUUGCGUAUUUUUAGACGUAUAGAAAUUUUUUUUUAUUGGUCUAUUCUUAAUGCCAAAAUGUUAUUAGAUGCGAUCACAUUGUGUGGUGUUGUGUGCAUAAAAUUUUCAUGAGUUGAACUCAAUUACGGUAGGG
rnacentral:misc_RNA from 1 species